UCUGGGACGUUGGAGUCUUAGGAAUGAGAGUCUCUUUGUAUAACCAUCAUGCUAUGUCCCCCUGGGGGAAAUCAUUCAAAAGUGAUAACUGUGAGAAAACCCCACUAGUGUUGCCCAGCUCUUAACCAUCAUAAGGACAGUAUACACAGAAUACUUCAUAAAAUCCCACAAACUGGAAAAAGAAAAGCUUUAUUCAAACUGAUUGGAUGUCAAAGAAAUAAAAACUAUGCAUGCACCUAGCACAGAAGAAUAUCAGCAGUUUGUCACACACACACACACACACACACACACACACACACACACACACCAUUACAUCUCAAGGAAAUUAUCAAAGGGGUCAGUUUUACACAUAGAAUAUGGAAAGUACUCUUUUAGAAAUGGAACCUUUGUAUACAGUAGGGAAUUCCCUAGUGUGCUGAAUAGGGCAACACCCUUAAAAUGGGAGACACCCACUCCACACACAAUGCUGUAAGCUAGGCAGACAAGCUACCAAAGAACAGAGUGUGAGGAAGUGUGUGGGAAGAGAGACCACACCAAAGAAGUCAACUCAGGGAAGAAAGCACGAAUCAAUGGGAGCAUGUGAUCAUCUUCAGCAGGAAGCCAGAGUCCUUAAUCCUGCACAUUUAAAAUCUACUCUAGGGAAACAAAAUCCUGUAACUUAAGCCAAGCUUUUUGUAGACAAAACAUGGCUGAGAAAUGGACACCAUCAGUGCAUCUACCUCCCCAUGCCUCACGCUCCCCUUUGAAAGGGGACCUCCCAAUAAAGACUGGGAGUA